rnacentral:rRNA from 2 species
AGAGUUUGAUCCUGGCUCAGGAUGAACGCUAGCUACAGGCUUAACACAUGCAAGUCGAGGGGCAGCAUGGUCUUAGCUUGCUAAGGCCAAUGGCGACCGGCGCACGGGUGAGUAACACGUAUCCAACCUGCCGUCUACUCUUGGACAGCCUUCUGAAAGGAAGAUUAAUACAAGAUGGCAUCAUGAGUCCACAUGUUCACAUGAUUAAAGGUAUUCCGGUAGACGAUGGGGAUGCGUUCCAUUAGAUAGUAGGCGGGGUAACGGCCCACCUAGUCUUCGAUGGAUAGGGGUUCUGAGAGGAAGGUCCCCCACAUUGGAACUGAGACACGGUCCAAACUCCUACGGGAGGCAGCAGUGAGGAAUAUUGGUCAAUGGGCGAGAGCCUGAACCAGCCAAGUAGCGUGAAGGAUGACUGCCCUAUGGGUUGUAAACUUCUUUUAUAAAGGAAUAAAGUCGGGUAUGCAUACCCGUUUGCAUGUACUUUAUGAAUAAGGAUCGGCUAACUCCGUGCCAGCAGCCGCGGUAAUACGGAGGAUCCGAGCGUUAUCCGGAUUUAUUGGGUUUAAAGGGAGCGUAGAUGGAUGUUUAAGUCAGUUGUGAAAGUUUGCGGCUCAACCGUAAAAUUGCAGUUGAUACUGGAUAUCUUGAGUGCAGUUGAGGCAGGCGGAAUUCGUGGUGUAGCGGUGAAAUGCUUAGAUAUCACGAAGAACUCCGAUUGCGAAGGCAGCCUGCUAAGCUGCAACUGACAUUGAGGCUCGAAAGUGUGGGUAUCAAACAGGAUUAGAUACCCUGGUAGUCCACACGGUAAACGAUGAAUACUCGCUGUUUGCGAUAUACGGCAAGCGGCCAAGCGAAAGCGUUAAGUAUUCCACCUGGGGAGUACGCCGGCAACGGUGAAACUCAAAGGAAUUGACGGGGGCCCGCACAAGCGGAGGAACAUGUGGUUUAAUUCGAUGAUACGCGAGGAACCUUACCCGGGCUUAAAUUGCAGAUGAAUUACGGUGAAAGCCGUAAGCCGCAAGGCAUCUGUGAAGGUGCUGCAUGGUUGUCGUCAGCUCGUGCCGUGAGGUGUCGGCUUAAGUGCCAUAACGAGCGCAACCCUUGUUGUCAGUUACUAACAGGUCAUGCUGAGGACUCUGACAAGACUGCCAUCGUAAGAUGUGAGGAAGGUGGGGAUGACGUCAAAUCAGCACGGCCCUUACGUCCGGGGCUACACACGUGUUACAAUGGGGGGUACAGAGGGUCGCUACCACGCGAGUGGAUGCCAAUCCCCAAAACCUCUCUCAGUUCGGACUGGAGUCUGCAACCCGACUCCACGAAGCUGGAUUCGCUAGUAAUCGCGCAUCAGCCACGGCGCGGUGAAUACGUUCCCGGGCCUUGUACACACCGCCCGUCAAGCCAUGGGAGCCGGGGGUACCUGAAGUGCGUAACCGCGAGGAGCGCCCUAGGGUAAAACUGGUGACUGGGGCUAAGUCGUAACAAGGUAGCCGUACCGGAAGGUGCGGCUGGAACACCU